UAAAGAAAAAUUGAGAAGACCAAUGUAC
rnacentral:piRNA from 1 species